AUGUAUUGUGGCAAGUCUCGUGAUGCAACAAUUGUGCUAGAGGCCGUAGCAUUCGAGGAUUUAUGGAUUUGGCAUUGCUUUUUUGGUAUGCCCGGCACAUUCGAUGAUAUCAAUGUGUUGCAACGCUCUCAUUUGUUUGCUAGGCUUGCUAGUGGUGAUGCUCCUGCUUGCAACUACACUAUCAAUGGGCAUGAAUACACAAAGGGGUACUAUCUAGCAGAUGGUAUAUAUCCUCCUUGGUGCACAUUUGUCAAGAGCAUCAAAGAACCCAAAACAAAAAACAAUGUGAAUUUUCAAGGGUGCAAGAGGCAGCCCGAAAAGACAUUGAAAGAGCAUUCGGUGUUUUGCAAUCUAGGUUUGCCAUUGUCCGAGGUCCUGCUCGUUUUUGGGAUAAGAAAACCCUGA
rnacentral:rRNA from 1 species